AUUGAACGCUGGCGGCAUGCCUUACACAUGCAAGUCGAACGGCAGCACGGGUGCUUGCCCCUGGUGGCGAGUGGCGAACGGGUGAGUAAUACAUCGGAACAUGUCCUGUAGUGGGGGAUAGCCCGGCGAAAGCCGGAUUAAUACCGCAUACGAUCUACGGCUGAAAGCGGGGGCCCUUCGGGCCUCGCGCUAUAGGGUUGGCCGAUGGCUGAUUAGCUAGUUGGUGGGGUAAAGGCCUACCAAGGCGACGAUCAGUAGCUGGUCUGAGAGGACGACCAGCCACACUGGGACUGAGACACGGCCCAGACUCCUACGGGAGGCAGCAGUGGGGAAUUUUGGACAAUGGGCGAAAGCCUGAUCCAGCAAUGCCGCGUGUGUGAAGAAGGCCUUCGGGUUGUAAAGCACUUUUGUCCGGAAAGAAAUCCUUGGCCCUAAUACGGUCGGGGGAUGACGGUACCGGAAGAAUAAGCACCGGCUAACUACGUG
rnacentral:rRNA from 1 species